rnacentral:misc_RNA from 1 species
GAAAUGCGAUAUGUAAUGUGAAUUGCAUAUUUGUGACUCAUCGAAUCUUUGAACGCACUUUGCACCUGGUGGUAUUCCGCCAGGUAUACUUGUUUGAGUGUCUGUAUUUUUUCUCAACCUAAUGUUUGUGUAAAAGCAAUUUUAGUGUUGGUCAUGGUUUUCAAGACUUCUUUUCAAGUCUUGUUGGCUUAAAUAUAGUCAGUUCGUCCUUUAGUUUCUGUUUCAGUUACUUGAAGGAGCUAGUAUUCUUGUCAAUCUAUAAUUGUCUUUUGGGUACUUGGCUUUGGAUGGUUUCUGAUAUAAAGUUUCUAUUGGUCACUUCUGUCCAAAAAAAAAAAAAAUAUGUAGCUGCGGCUUUAUUUAAUUGGACCUCAAAUCAAGUAAGAAUACCCGCUGAACUUAAGC